rnacentral:rRNA from 1 species
GACGAACGCUGGCGGCGUGCUUAACACAUGCAAGUCGAACGGUGAACCUCUUCGUAUGGGAUCAGUGGCGAACGGGUGAGUAACACGUGGGCAACCUGCCCCCGUCUCUGGGUUAACUCCAAGUAAUUGGGGCUAAUACCGGAUGUUCACCGCUUCCCGCCUGGGUUGUGGUGCAUAGGUUUUGCGGCUGGGGAUGGGCCCGCUGCCUAUCAUCUUGUUGGUGGGGUAGUGUCCUACCAAGGCGACGACGGGUAGCCGGCAUGCGAGGGUGACCGGCCACAAUGGGACUGAGAGAAGGCCCAGAAUCGUACGGGAGGCAACAGUGGGGAAUAUUGCAGAAUGGGCGGAAGCAUGAGGAAGAGACGCGGCGUGGGGGAUGACGGCCUUCGGGUUGUAAACCGCUUUCAGCAGAGACGAAGCGAAAGUGACGGUAACUGCAGAAGAAGCACCGGCCAACUACGUG